GAUGAACGCUGGCGGCGUGUCUAAUACAUGCAAGUCGAGCGAACAGAUAAGGAGCUUGCUCCUUUGAAGUUAGCGGCGGACGGGUGAGUAACACGUGGGUAACCUACCUAUAAGACUGGGAUAACUUCGGGAAACCGGAGCUAAUACCGGAUAACAUUUAGAACCGCAUGGUUCUAAAGUGAAAGAUGGUUUUGCUAUCACUUAUAGAUGGACCCGCGCCGUAUUAGCUAGUUGGUAAGGUAACGGCUUACCAAGGCGACGAUACGUAGCCGACCUGAGAGGGUGAUCGGCCACACUGGAACUGAGACACGGUCCAGACUCCUACGGGAGGCAGCAGUAGGGAAUCUUCCGCAAUGGGCGAAAGCCUGACGGAGCAACGCCGCGUGAGUGAUGAAGGGUUUCGGCUCGUAAAACUCUGUUAUUAGGGAAGAACAAAUGUGUAAGUAACUGUGCACAUCUUGACGGUACCUAAUCAGAAAGCCACGGCUAACUACGUG
rnacentral:rRNA from 1 species